ACAAGCUUUCGGGAGAACCUCCCUUUCUCAAGUCUGAAGCAUUUCUCUUCAAGUCUGAAGAAAUGCUUCAGACUUGAGAAAGGGAGGUUCUCCCGAAAGCUUG